rnacentral:snRNA from 1 species
AUCAUUUUUUGGCCUUUUGGCUAAGAUCAAGUGUGAUAUUCUUAUUAGUUUAAUAUCUGAUACAUUAAAAAAUUUGAUAUUAAAAACAAUUCCUCUCUGUGCUUCAACUACA